AAAGUGUGUAUCAUGAUUCCAGUGCUGAUCAUGCAAAGAAACACCAUGAAAAGAAAAGGAAGCAUGAUGGAGAUGAAGAUCUUAACGAUGCAAACAAACACAAAAAAAGCAAGCAUAAGAGCUCAAAAAUUGAUGAGUUGGGGGCAAUAAAGGUAGCAGGAUAAAAUGGAUACAUACUGUAGUUCACUUUUUUCCUCAAAUAGUUGUUGUCAGUUGUUAAAGUUUGGAGGGGUCUCUCAGUUGACAUUGUGAAACUUAAGAGUAGCUAGUGAACUGUCAGUAAAUAUUAUCAUGAGGGUGAAUUGGU